rnacentral:rRNA from 1 species
UAACCCCAUGGCAAGUCGAACGGGAUCCAUCAGGCUUUGCUUGGUGGUGAGAGUGGCGAACGGGUGAGUAAUGCGUGACCGACCUGCCCCAUACACCGGAAUAGCUCCUGGAAACGGGUGGUAAUGCCGGAUGCUCCGACUCCUCGCAUGGGGUGUCGGGAAAGAUUUCAUCGGUAUGGGAUGGGGUCGCGUCCUAUCAGGUAGUCGGCGGGGUAACGGCCCACCGAGCCUACGACGGGUAGCCGGCCUGAGAGGGCGACCGGCCACAUUGGGACUGAGAUACGGCCCAGACUCCUACGGGAGGCAGCAGUGGGGAAUAUUGCACAAUGGGCGCAAGCCUGAUGCAGCGACGCCGCGUGCGGGAUGACGGCCUUCGGGUUGUAAACCGCUUUUGAUCGGGAGCAAGCCUUCGGGUGAGUGUACCUUUCGAAUAAGCACCGGCUAACUACGUGCCAGCAGCCGCGGUAAUACGUAGGGUGCAAGCGUUAUCCGGAAUUAUUGGGCGUAAAGGGCUCGUAGGCGGUUCGUCGCGUCCGGUGUGAAAGUCCAUCGCUUAACGGUGGAUCUGCGCCGGGUACGGGCGGGCUGGAGUGCGGUAGGGGAGACUGGAAUUCCCGGUGUAACGGUGGAAUGUGUAGAUAUCGGGAAGAACACCAAUGGCGAAGGCAGGUCUCUGGGCCGUUACUGACGCUGAGGAGCGAAAGCGUGGGGAGCGAACAGGAUUAGAUACCCUGGUAGUCCACGCCGUAAACGGUGGAUGCUGGAUGUGGGGCCCGUUCCACGGGUUCCGUGUCGGAGCUAACGCGUUAAGCAUCCCGCCUGGGGAGUACGGCCGCAAGGCUAAAACUCAAAGAAAUUGACGGGGGCCCGCACAAGCGGCGGAGCAUGCGGAUUAAUUCGAUGCAACGCGAAGAACCUUACCUGGGCUUGACAUGUUCCCGACAGCCGUAGAGAUAUGGCCUCCCUUCGGGGCGGGUUCACAGGUGGUGCAUGGUCGUCGUCAGCUCGUGUCGUGAGAUGUUGGGUUAAGUCCCGCAACGAGCGCAACCCUCGCCCUGUGUUGCCAGCACGUCAUGGUGGGAACUCACGGGGGACCGCCGGGGUCAACUCGGAGGAAGGUGGGGAUGACGUCAGAUCAUCAUGCCCCUUACGUCCAGGGCUUCACGCAUGCUACAAUGGCCGGUACAACGGGAUGCGACACGGCGACGUGGAGCGGAUCCCUGAAAACCGGUCUCAGUUCGGAUUGGAGUCUGCAACCCGACUCCAUGAAGGCGGAGUCGCUAGUAAUCGCGGAUCAGCAACGCCGCGGUGAAUGCGUUCCCGGGCCUUGUACACACCGCCCGUCAAGUCAUGAAAGUGGGUAGCACCCGAAGCCGGUGGCCUAACCCUUUGUGGAUGGAGCCGUCUAAGGGGAAACCCA